GGAUUGGCUCUGAGGGCUGG
rnacentral:snRNA from 1 species